rnacentral:rRNA from 1 species
AGUUUGAUCCUGGCUCAGGAUGAACGCUGGCGGCAGGUUUGACACAUGCAAGUUGAGCGACAAGCAGGUGCUUGCACCUGUGGAGGAGCAGCAAACGGCUGAGUAACACGUAGGAACCUACCCUCAGGACCGGGAUAACAAGCCGAAAGGCCUGCUAAUACCGGAUAUAUUCUUCGGAAGGAAAUGGUCCGCCGCCUGAGGAGGGGCCUGCGGCGCAUUAGUUAGAUGGUGAGGUAAUGGCUCACCAUGGCUGUGAUGCGUAGCUGGUCUGAGAGGACGAUCAGCCAGACUGGGACUGAGACACGGCCCAGACUCCUACGGGAGGCAGCAGUUCAGAAUCUUGCCCAAUGGACGAAAGUCUGAGGCAGCCAUGCCGCGUGUGUGAAGAAGGCCCUCGGGUCGUAAAGCACUGUCAGGAGGGACGAUAGUGACGGUACCUCCUAAGGAAGCCACGGCUAAUUACGUGCCAGCAGCCGCGGUAAUACGUAAGUGGCGAGCGUUAUCCGGAUUUACUGGGCAUAAAGCGUUCGUAGGCGGCGUAGUAAGUUGGAUUUGAAAGACCGGGGCUCAACUCCGGAACCGGAUCCAAAACUACUAUGCUAGAGCGUAUCAGAGGGCAGUGGAAUUCCCGGUGUAGCGGUAAUAUGCGUAGAUAUCGGGAGGAACACCAGUGGCGAAGGCGACUGCCUGGGGUACUGCUGACGCUGAGGAACGAAAGCUAGGGGAGCGAACGGGAUUAGAUACCCCGGUAGUCCUAGCCGUAAACGUUGGGCACUAGGUGUCGGGAGCUUCGACCCUCUCGGUGCCGCCGCUAACGCAUUAAGUGCCCCGCCUGGGAAGUACGGCCGCAAGGUUAAAACUCAAAG